UAUAUUUUUUAUUGGAAACACUGAAAAUGUUCAGAGUAACCAACAUCAGAAGGACACAGCCACUAUAAAAAUGGCGGCCACCAGGCAGUGGUCAUUUUUGGGUAUGGGAGCCAUAUGCAAUAGCAGUCCAAGUAAAUUUAUAAAGUUCGUGACUCCACCCAACUCAACUCAACUUAAUAUUGGUAAAAUUUGUUACAAUGUACGCAGCUUAACGAUCUUGACCGUUGUGGAUAUACCAGGUGUUUUCCGACGACUGGAAAUAAUUUCGGUGGAUUGAGCGGCGAGCAAACUUCGCGACAUUUCUGGAGACACAACAUGUGAAUGGAACAAUCUAGCUAGUAUUUAAGGAGCCCUCGCCGCUAGGAGGCCAGUUCAAAGAUAAAUAAUGGCGCGACUUUUAAAUAAAAAAAAUAUUAGAAACUAAAAAUUGAUUCUUGGAAUAAAAAAGAAAAAAAAUGUUUUACCGACUCGUAGACGAAAGAAAGGUGAAGGUAGAGUGCAGAAUGAAAAAAAGAAGAAAUAGUGGUAAAAAAUACUUAAGCAGUAAGAAUACUGAAGUAAACGCAAAGAACGAACCGAGUAUCGAGGUUUUGUGCAAAUGUAAAUUUUAUUGUAAAAAAAUUCCACAUGAACAAGAAAAAUGUUUACAAAUUAAAGGACUAUGUUAAGCAGAAUUCAUAUCUAAUGAAGGAAUGGGAACUAUGGUGAUCCUGCGAAUAGUAAGCGGACUAUACACUUCACAUUACCUACUGGAAAAGAUGACAUUUUGCAAGCGUGUAGAAAAACUUUUUUUAAAAUUUAUGGAAUUACGAAAAGAAGAGUUGAAACUAUUGUGAAAGCAAAAAAGUGGAGAUUAUACUUUAACUGAGAAAAGGGGAAACAAAAAGAUAAAUAGAAAGUUUUUGAGAGAUGAUGAAAACGCUCUGACAUAUUUAGUACUUGUGAUCUUCUACAUCAUAAAAUAACAAUUUAUUAUCCUGAUAAUAAAAAAGU